rnacentral:lncRNA from 1 species
GGGAUCGGAAUGUGGCUCAAGUUGGGAGGCGUUACCUGCGGAGGGUUUGAGGCACGCCCAGGAGCGAGCCCACGGUCGGCCGACGCGGGGCCAGGGGCGGGCCCCAGGAUCCGGAGCUUCGGGCGGGGCCGAGUCUGGGUUUGGGGCCCGGGAGGCGGGGCCAGUUAGGGCGAGGGUCCCUGGGAUCGUCGGGUCAGGCCUUGGGCUAACGUAGACACUCUCGCAGUACCUCCGCCUUCAGGAAGGUCUUUUUAGCAGGGGCCUUACAGGUGCACGCUUCGGUCCUGGAGGCCUUAUCCUAACCUCUCCAUCAGCGCCACCCGUCUGGGGCCCGAAAGGAGGGAGCUUUCCCUCUGUCCUCCAGCCUUUGGACUGUCUCCAAACAAGCCAUUCGUUCACCAAAUACUUAUUAAGCACCUACCAUGUGCCUGACAAGGGAGAUGUAACGCUGUUGUUCCCCACCAGAACCAAAUGAGCGCAAGAUCUGACAAAGAAAAAAAAGGUUCAUCUUUUAUUCCCCCAAACACUUUCAUUUAAAUCAAGAGGAUGGGAUGUGGUUAUUGCUGUGUUUUUAGACAGAAUCAACGGUUUCUGUGUCUGAGAUGUUGCAUACACCCUCUCAGUCCCUCUAUCCUGAGAUGGAGUCACCUGAGGAUCCACAGCAAGUCCUAACCAGGGAUGGGUCUGGGUGAUUAAGGAAGGUUGGCUUCAGAACUGGGCCAGGGGCACUGCUUUGCUUUUGCUGUUUUGAUCAGCUCUCUGCCUGCAGGAGACAAGGAAAACCAAUGGGAACAGAUAGGGUCUCUCUCUCUGCCACCCAGGCCAGAGUGCAGUUGACGCAGGGCAGGGGAGCCCCGAAGUGGAGCAUAGUGUGUCCGGAACUGGUGGGUUCUUGGUCUCACUGACUUCAAGAAUGAAGCCGUGGACCCUCACGGUUCAAGCGAUUCUCCUGCCUCAGCCUCC